rnacentral:lncRNA from 1 species
UUUAUUGGAGCUAGAAUAACAUUCUCGACAAUUGCAGUUUGCUGAAUGUUGUCCUCCCUCUUUGCUAAAGCUAUCAUAGCCUCCACAAGUUGGUCUAUCUGGUUUUUCAUAGAGUCCACAUCUCCUCUCAAUGCAAUAUGACUUUGCUCCAACGGAUCCAUGAUCUUUCAAGAGCUACCUCAAGUCCGAUACGAGUGUUGGGAAUUCAACUACGGGUUAUGGAAAAAGGAUGGGAUGAGUUUUUUUGUUUAUGAAAAUGAUAUGCAAUU